GUCUGUGGCUCAGUGGUAGAGCAUGUGCUUCAUAUGCAGAAAGUUUCAGGUCCAAUCUCUGGCUUCUGCA
rnacentral:tRNA from 1 species